rnacentral:misc_RNA from 1 species
ACAACUUGCGACAAAGUGGUAAGAGACUCGACGUCACGUCAGCUGCAUGUACGUCGACGUCUGUUUUAUUUGUUUUCCAUUAUUUACCCAAAUGUCUACAACAGGUGUUGCGUGACGUGAGUGCCCAAUACUUUUACCCCGUCCUUCGUCACCCGAAUUCAGUUUUGCCAAGAUGAAAUUUAUUCAGAACUUGAAUGUCAUCGGGCCGAACAUCAUGUUGAUACUUUUCGUGCUUUUCGUUGACAUUGUGUCCGUCCAUUGUCACAUCUACGACGAAGCUAGUUCCGUUUCCCUCAUCAACCGAAUCGAUCGUUACCACCGGAGUACGGGGGACGAGUUUGACGACCAUGGACACACGGGCCACGACGACGAAGAUUUGAUUGGCACUUCCCGCUACACGAACGAAUGGGUAGUUAAAAUAACUGGAGGCGCCAAGUCCGCUGCCAAAUUGGCAGAAGAAAUGGGUUUCGAAAUCCAUGGAAUGGUCCAGAGUUUCCCCGACUUGUACCGAUUGCACAAAUCAGAUCACCCGAGACGGGGACGGGCACAGUCAUCCCAUGUGUCCCGACAGCUGGCGGAUGACGUGCGCGUCAUGUGGGCCGAGCAGCAAUACGCAAAGAGGAGGCAGAAACGCGGUUACAUUCCCGAUGAUCGUCUUUUUGAAACGGCUGAGGAAUCGGUGACAAAUGAAGAAGAUCGACCACUCGUUCGCGUCAAACGGGAAUCCGACGAAAAUGCAGAUGAGCCCCACAUUCGACAAAAGCGAUCCGACAUGGAAGCGCCAUCAAAGUCCAGUCAUCGAUUUAAUGAUGAACUUUGGGAUCAUCAGUGGUAUAUGCACGAUACCCGAACUAAUGCCGCUCUACCCAGGCUGGAUCUCAACAUUUUGCCUGUUUACGAUAUGGGUUACACCGGUCGCGGAGUCACGGUUGUUGUACUGGACGACGGCCUAGAGGGCACCCACACUGACAUCCGCAAUAAUUACAAUUCCAAAGUAAGCUUCGACAUGAAUGACGACGAUCCGGAUCCUAGUCCGCGUUACGGCCGAGGCUAUUUCAAUAGCCACGGGACGAGAUGUGCCGGUGAAAUUGCCAUGGAGGCCAAUAACGCCAAAUGCGGUGUGGGAGUAGCUUUUAACGUCAGCAUCGGCGGCGUUCGCAUGUUGGACGGCCCAGUCAGCGACCGAGUCGAGGCUUCGUCGCUCAUUUACGCACUGGAAAUGGUCGACAUUUAUAGCGCCUCGUGGGGUCCCAGCGAUGACGGCAAAACGGUCGAAGGACCGGGAAAACUCGUCCGUCAAGCUUUCUACCGCGGAGUGAAAGAAGGUAGGAAAGGUAAAGGGGCGAUUUACAUUUGGGCUUCCGGAAACGGCGGUCGAGUCAAAGAUAAUUGCAACUGCGACGGAUAUGUUUCGUCCAUUUACACGUUAUCCAUUGGAAGUGUAUCGGAGCAAGGCGACUUCCCGUGGUACGGAGAACAAUGCGCCUCUACCAUGGCAGUCACAUACUCGAGCGGCGCUUACACCGACCAGAAAAUCGCUACCGUCGAUCUGAACGACACGUGCACGAUGGAUCACACAGGAACGUCGGCAGCAGCGCCAUUGGCGUCCGGAAUCGUGGCGUUAGCCUUGGAGGCCAAUUCAAAUUUAACGUGGAGAGAUGUCCAGCAUUUGGUUCCAUGGACGAGUGAGUACGGGCCGUUAAAGGAUAAUAUUGACUGGCAAGAGAAUUCGGCCGGUUUUCGUGUAAACCCCCGCUUCGGAUUUGGGUUGAUGAACGCAGCCAAAUACGUCAGGGCGGCCAUCAACUGGAGCACUGUUCCAGAAAAAUCGAUUUGCGUUACUCCUUCGUUCAACGGGAAUUUGCCCGUGCUGUUUACCAACAAAGAAUGGGGUACCGUCGAAUUCGAGAGCGACGGGUGUUCCGGCACGCUAGACGAGGUUAAUUACCUUGAACAUGUGGAAGUGAUUGUCAGCAUCGAGUAUCCAGUUCGAGGUCAACUGGAAAUCGAUCUAAUCUCACCUUCAGGCACUUCGACGCAAUUGGUGAAGCAGCGCCCCAAGGAUAAAUCAAAACAGGGCUACGUCAAUUGGCCCUUCAUGUCUGUGCACACCUGGGGAGAGAUGUCAAAAGGUCGCUGGAAAUUGAUCGUGACCGACCUGUCGAGCCAGAAUUCGAGCCUAUUGUCAGGACGCAUCGUUAACGCCACGUUAGUCCUGCACGGCACUUCCGCUAUGCCGGAAUACCGGAAGAAUGGCGCCAGGAUUUAUGACGAUGCAUUCAACCGGCUUUCUUCCCGCUCGCACGAAAAAGCAACAAUGAGUGGCAGCAACCAGCUGGACGAUAGCGACGAGGCCGUCGACAUUAACCAACUUCGCUCCGAAAACCCCAACUUUUCGUGGAAGGAUUUGAUUGGAUUAAAGUUAACUCGCCAUUCGUAUUCGGACGAAGAAAAUUGAGGCAAAUUUCAUUUGAAAUAAUUUUUUGUUUUGUUUUGUUUUUAUUUCUUAUAUUCUAAUCAACAUUUUGCGUCAUUAACAACAUCAACUAUAGACCGGAUAAGGGUGGGGCACGGACGACGACAUGAUUGGACAGGCCCGGUUUUUCCCAUUCUAUAUUUUGUUUUGUAGUUUUCAAAUUUUUAUUUACUGGUUCUCUCCUCCAAACAAAACAACCGAUAAAAAUAAAAGUGGUUUACAUUGAAUAGGUUCACGUUCGAAAAAAUGUGUGUGACCCGUAAAAAAUAAAGGGAAAAUUGACGAGGGGGAAACCAACACAACAGUUUACUUUUUAGGGGGCCCUGUCAUUCCGUGUGUGUGUGUGUGUUUUGUGUUGUCGUCUAAUGAUGAAUAUCAAUAAAAAAUAUAGCACUCA